rnacentral:rRNA from 1 species
ACGUUAGCGGCGGACGGGUGAGUAACACGUGGGUAACCUACCUAUAAGACUGGGAUAACUUCGGGAAACCGGAGCUAAUACCGGAUAAUAUUUCGAACCGCAUGGUUCGAUAGUGAAAGAUGGUUUUGCUAUCACUUAUAGAUGGACCUGCGCCGUAUUAGCUAGUUGGUAAGGUAACGGCUUACCAAGGCGACGAUACGUAGCCGACCUGAGAGGGUGAUCGGCCACACUGGAACUGAGACAGGUCCAGACUCCUACGGGAGGCAGCAGCG